UACGUAGGGUGCAAGCGUUGUCCGGAAUUAUUGGGCGUAAAGAGCUCAUAGGCGGUCUGUCGCGUCUGCUGUGAAAACUCGGGGCUUAACCCCGGGCCUGCAGUGGGUACGGGCAGACUAGAGUGCGGUAGGGGAGACUGGAAUUCCUGGUGUAGCGGUGAAAUGCGCAGAUAUCAGGAGGAACACCGGUGGCGAAGGCGGGUCUCUGGGCCGUAACUGACGCUGAGGAGCGAAAGCAUGGGGAGCGAACAGG
rnacentral:rRNA from 1 species